CGAUAAGAGUAGUGCUAAAGUGAACAAGAUUCAUGACAAUGAUGUCGAAAGUGAUUCCAAUGAAGAGAAAAUUGUGAACCUGAAGAACGGCAAGAAAAUGUCUGGUGGGAGUCAUAUGUUUUCCGAGUCAUCCGACUACAAAUGCACCCCUGUUGUUGGUACAAAGGA